ACUUCGGUCAAGUUGAACGGAUGACUUAGUGGCGGACGGGUGAGUAACGCGUGAGGAACCUUUUGCCUUUCAGUGGGGGACAACAGUUGGAAACGACUGCUAAUACCGCAUAAUGUAUUCUGACCGCAUGAUCGGAAUACCAAAGAUUUAUCGCUGAAAGAUGGCCUCGCGUCUGAUUAGCUAGUUGGUGAGGUAACGGCCCACCAAGGCGACGAUCAGUAGCCGGACUGAGAGGUUGAACGGCCACAUUGGGACUGAGAUACGGCCCAGACUCC
rnacentral:rRNA from 1 species